rnacentral:rRNA from 1 species
UAGGGAAUCUUCCACAAUGGGCGAAAGCCUGAUGGAGCAACGCCGCGUGUGUGAUGAAAGGUUUCGGCUCGUAAAACACUGUUGUAAGAGAAGAAUGACAUUGAGAGUAACUGUUCAAUGUGUGACGGUAUCUUACCAGAAAGGAACGGCUAAAUACGUGCCAG